GAAUCACAGUUACCCGCAUCGUUGUGUAUCAACCGUUGAUAUUGCUCCCCGUAUUCAAUCUCAAUCGUCCAUUUACUAUGACGCCCCUAUAAGUUUAGGGUUUCCCUCCUUCCUAUUCCCUCCAUCAUUCCAUUGAGUCCUUUGCCUAUCGUUUUUGCAGAUCUACUCUUUGUUUCUUCCUUCUAUGCAUUUUCGGCUCUGGAUCUUGCUGGAUCGCUGAGCAAUCUACGUUUUGGUAUUCUUUUUGCAACGUGUAGUUGUUGGAUCUUAAUCUUUUUCAGGUUCGUAAUCUUUCCUCUUUCCUUCAGAAUUGUCACAAGGUCUGGAUCUGAGAGUUGACUCUUGUAUUCUUCCUACCAUGAAGAUCUGCUACGGUUAGUCGAGUUUUUCGAUUUAGUUUUCGCACAGGAUCAGGCUGAUUCGCUGAACUGCUGUUUGAUAUGCAGUUUCUGGCUUAAAUAUGCUUCAAAUCUUUUUAGCACCCUAAGGCGAGUUUCAAUAAGUCACCAAUGGCACCCAUGGUGGUUCUAGACUGCGAUAGUUGUUCGUUUUCAGAUUGUGGCUCGGUCGUCGAACUCCCCACUCGUCGGAUAUUACAUCUACUAUUGCAUCGAACGAAGAAUAGUGGCUGAUCAUUCAAGAUUGUGGUUUGUUAACUGUAUCGGAGGAUGAUCAAAAUCUGCUAGUUAGAUGCAGCUCACUGUUGUGGAUGUGUUGUACUAACAAAGCAAAAGAUGCAGAUGACAGGUUUAUAGAUGUGUAGGACAUCGGGACUCUGGGCCCAAAGGGGGCUUUGUUUCGAUUGUUCUUUGUCACCAGACCUUUGCCAUGACAGGUGCGCUUGUAUGGCAGGUCACCAAAGCCUAAUAAAAAGUUCAUAUUUUUUUGCUCGAGGAGGGAUCGCACGGGGAUUUGCCCGGGUUCCCUCCUCGUGUGCCGUGUCCUGCUUUUUGUUUUUUUUUAUUUCCAUAUUUACUAGUUCCUGAACUGCCAAAGCCAAUCAAAUCCGAACCAGCGUCAUCGUUUUAUGAGCUCCAUGCGAUUAUGGUCUCUCCCCAGCGAGGUUCAUCUUCCAUUAAAGGUACACACUACCUAAAGCCUUUGUUUAUUUGAAGUCGUUAAUAUUUUACAGCAAAAAAAAAAAAAAAUACAACGGAGAAGAAAAUCAACAGUACAAUUUAAAAUUUAAGUAGUUUUUAUAGCAAUUAUGAUUUUUGAUUAUAUCUUUUUAAAGCAUCUAUGUUAUUUUUCUUUACCAAAAUAUACACUUUUAUCAACGUAAAGUAAAAUGAGAAUUGCAGUAAUUUUUUAACAGCACGCUAUGAGCGCAACCAUCUUUUUAAAAUUUAGUAAACAAGCUUUCGACUUAACUGUCUUCAAUCUCUAUUAUAUUUCCCCAACAUGAUCAAUUGUCAUUUCAAAUUUGAAGAUCUGAGGAGGAAUGUUUUAUGAAAUUAUUAUACCUAGAAUUAUGCUUUCCCCACGCAAUAUAUUAAAAUUUUAGAAUGUUUGACUAGAAUUUUUAUUCUACAUUUGAAGCAAUGAUAUGAGAAGUGGGGGCGACAACUUCAAUGAUAUUACCUUCUUGCUAGACAUGUAGUAGAAUUAAUUCUUUAUAACCCUAGAAAAGGCUUUCUACAACCAUGUUAUGGAAAUGAAGUGUUAAUUAUGUUUUACUCUACUUGGGCAUUAAUUUUCAAGUCCUAGAAAAGGCUUUCUACAACUAUCACUUAAAAUUCUUUUUGAAGUCCUAUGAAUAUCCAACACCCUCUUAUGGCAGAAGAAUAAAAUUCACUACUAAAAGAUAAUGAUUCAUUAAUUUGAUAUUCAAUAUACAUUCCCACCAUUGAAGACGAACCACUGCAGUUUCAAUGUGUUCUGUGGUUUGGGUAAACGUCAUGCUUGUUUCUUGUUCUAUUUUAACGCAAUGUCGUCUACCAUUUGCACUUGCAUACCAAUUUGUUCAUUGUUACCAUCUUCAAGGCGUAAUUAUUUGUUUUAGUUAUUCUAAAUUUGUUCGGGCAAGUUGUAUCUGUUUUAUUGUUUUGAAAGGUCCCCCAUUAGUAAUUUGAAGGGGGUUCUGCCAACAUGUAAUGGACAUUUCUGGUGCGGAUGGUCCUCAGGUGAUUUCAGUGUGUACACUAGGUCAUCAGUAGGUUUGUAUUAUGCAUGUAUUGUUAUUGUAUUCUGUUGAAUUGCAAAAUUGUUAAGGCAAAGCAUUUUGUGCUGGUUGCUGUGUUGGCUGGUAUACGAGGAUGGUGGCUGCUGGUGCGGAAGAAUGCCUGCUGAGAACCUAGUACACAAGGGAUGAUUGCACAAUUUUUUACCAGCCUGACAUAUUUCUCAUGCACUGCUGGCUGUGAUAGCUUUGGAAAUUUGGAUGCUGUGGUGAUUUGUUCAAGAAAGGAUCAUCUAUUUUUCACAUUUAUAUUGGAUGCUGAUUUUCUUGCUUCCCUGGGCGUCCUGUUGUAUUCCAUCCAAAAUGUACAAAUGAAUCUUUAGAGCUGCUCCGUAGAUGCUAGAAGAAUUUCGACUGUUUGAUGAACAAUCAAUUAUAAUGAUUUUAUGAAGAAGCCUUAAAAGUGAUUUAUGAAGUUGGUUGGUCUUCAACAGAAGCGGGAGCCGAAACCCUACAGUCUGCUUUAUAAUCUUGGAGGGUCAAGACAGACUUAUGAGGUAGCUGUGGAAUUUUACACCCAUUCUUUUACAACUAAUGGCUGCAGAAUUUAUUUGGCAGAAAAUUAUCCUAUAUUAGUAUUUACAUGAUGAAAAUCUAUUCCAAGUACGCAUGAGAAGCAUUAGCAGGCAAGCAUAAAAUCAGGUUGUUUUUAUUCUGAUUAUUAUAUUUAUUCCUUGCCCUGAUUAUUAUGUUUUUCCCCUCCCAUUUGAGUUGGAAUGUUAAAAUUAAAAUGUGAAUAAUAUUUUAGUACAAGUAAUCUUUUGAGGA